rnacentral:rRNA from 1 species
GACGAACGCUGGCGGCGUGGAUUAGGCAUGCAAGUCGCGCGACAGACCUUCGGGUUAUGGAGCGGCGAACGGGUGAGUAACACGUGAGAAAUCUACCUUUACGUUCCGGAUAAUUGGAAGAAAUUCCUUGUAAUACGGGGGAGGUUCCUGCAUAGGCAUCUAUAUAGGAACAAACGAGCAAUCGGCGCAAAGAUGAUCUCGCGGCUUAUCAGGUAGUUGGUGGGGUAACGGCCCACCAAGCCAUCGAUCAGUAACUGGUGUGAGAGCACGACCAGUCACACGGGCACUGAGACAC